rnacentral:rRNA from 1 species
GACGAACGCUGGCGGCGUGCCUAAUACAUGCAAGUAGGACGCAGUUGCGAACGGGUGAGUAACGCGUAGGUAUCUACCUAUUAGAGGGGGAUAACUAUUGGAAACGAUAGCUAAUACCGCAUACUAGUAGAUGGACCUGCGUUGUAUUAGCUAGUAGGUCGGGUAAUGGCCUACCUAGGCAACGAUACAUAGCCGACCUGAGAGGGGUAACGGGCAAACUGGGACUGGGAACCGGCCCAGACUCCUACGGGAGGGAGCGGUAGGGAAUCUUCGGCAAUGGGGGGAACCCUGACCGAGCAACGCCCGGUGAGUGGAGAAGGUUUUUGGAUCGGAAAGCUCAGUUGUUAAGGAAGCGGUACUUAACCAGAAAGGGACGGCUAACUACGUGCCAGCAGCCGCGGUAAUAC